rnacentral:rRNA from 1 species
AGUCGAACGCGAAAGUGGAGCAAUCCAUGAGUAGAGUGGCAAACGGGUGAGUAACGCGUGGGCGACCUGCCUUCGAGUGGGGGAUAACAUUCCGAAAGGGAUGCUAAUACCGCAUAACAUCCUUCGUUUAGAUACGAGGCGAUCAAAGCUGGGAGCAAUCCUGGCGCUUAAAGAGGGGCCCGCGUCCGAUUAGCUAGUUGGUGGGGUAACGGCCUACCAAGGCUUCGAUCGGUAUCCGGCCUGAGAGGGCGGACGGACACACUGGAACUGAGACACGGUCCAGACUCCUACGGGAGGCAGCAGUGGGGAAUUGUUCGCAAUGGGCGCAAGCCUGACGACGCAACGCCGCGUGGAGGAUGAAGACCUUCGGGUCGUAAACUCCUUUCGACCGAGAAGAAUGGCUCCCGACCUAAUACGUCGGGAGCAUGACGGUAUCGAGGGAAGAAGCCCCGGCUAACUCUGUGCCAGCAGCCGCGGUAAUACAGGGGGGGCAAGCGUUGUUCGGAAUUACUGGGCGUAAAGGGUUCGUAGGUGGCCAACUAAGUCAGACGUGAAAUCCCUCAGCUUAACUGGGGAACUGCGUCUGAUACUGGAUGGCUUGAGUGCAGGAGAGGAAUGCGGAAUUCCAGGUGUAGCGGUGAAAUGCGUAGAUAUCUGGAGGAACACCGGUGGCGAAGGCGGCAUUCUGGACUGCAACUGACACUGAGGAACGAAAGCCAGGGGAGCAAACGGGAUUAGAUACCCCGGUAGUCCUGGCCCUAAACGAUGAAUGCUUGGUGUAACGGGUAUCGAUCCCUGUGGUGCCGAAGCUAACGCAUUAAGCAUUCCGCCUGGGGAGUACGGUCGCAAGGCUGAAACUCAA